rnacentral:rRNA from 1 species
AGGGCACCACCAGGAGUGGAGCCUGCGGCUUAAUUUGACUCAACACGGGAAAACUCACCCGGCCCGGACACUGGAAGGAUUGACAGAUUGAGAGCUCUUUCUUGAUUCAGUGGGUGGUGGUGCAUGGCCGUUCUUAGUUGGUGGAGUGAUUUGUCUGGUUAAUUCCGAUAACGAACGAGACUCUAGCCUACUAAAUAGAUCGUCGGCUUACAAACGCCGGCGAGACUUCUUAGAGGGACAGGCGGUGAUUCAACCGCACGAAACAGAGCAAUAACAGGUCUGUGAUGCCCUUAGAUGUCCGGGGCCGCACGCGCGCUACACUGAAGUGAUCAGCGUGCUUUUUCAACCUACUCUGUCAAGAGUGGGGAACCCAAUGAACCUUCUUCGUGAUUGGGAUAGGGGAUUGUAAUUAUUCCCCUUGAACGAGGAAUUCCCAGUAAGCGCGAGUCAUAAGCUCGCGUUGAUUCCGUCCCUGCCCUUUGUACACACCGCCCGCCGCUACUACCGAUUGAAUGUUUU